rnacentral:rRNA from 1 species
UAAUACGUAGGGAGCAAGCGUUGUUCGGAAUUACUGGGUGUAAAGGGCGUGCAGGCGGCUUCCCAAGUUGGAUGUGGAAUCUUCCAGCUCAACUGGAAAAUUGCAUUCAAAACUGGGUGGCUUGAGUACAGGAGAGGGGAACGGAAUUUCCAGUGUAGCGGUGAAAUGCGUAGAUACUGGAAGGAACACCGGUGGCGAAGGCGGCCUUCUGGGCCUACCCUGACGCUGAGGCGCGAAAGCGUGGGGAGCGAACCGGAUUAGAUACCCGGGUAGUCCACGCCCUAAACGUUGGACACUAGGUGUGGGGGGUAUCGACCCCUCCCGUGCCGCAGCUAACGCUUUAAGUGUCCCGCCUGGGAAGUACGGCCGCAAGGCUA